rnacentral:rRNA from 1 species
CAGCAGCCGCCACGGUAAUACAGAGGAUGCAAGCGUUAUCCGGAAUGAUUGGGCGUAAAGCGUCUGUAGGUGGCUUUUCAAGUCCGCCGUCAAAUCCCCGGGCUCAACCCUGGACAGGCAGUGGAAACUACCAAGCUAGAGUAAGGUAGGGGCAGAGGGAAUUUCCGGUGGAGCGGUGAAAUGCGUUGAGAUCGGAAAGAACACCAACGACGAAAGCACUCUGCUGGGCCGACACUGACACUGAGAGACGAAAGCUAGGGGAGCAAAUGGGAUUAGAUACCCGUGUAGUCCCUGUCUCUUAUAC